AAUCAACGCUGGCGGCGUGCCUAACACAUGCAAGUCGAACGCGAAAGCCCCUUCGGGGGUAAGUAGAGUGGCGUCCGGGUGAGUAACACGUGGGUAAUCUGCCUUCGGGUGGGGGAAGUAACCCACGGGAAACGUUAGGGCUAAUACCGCAUAAUGCAGCGGCACCUAAUGGUGAUUAGUUGUUAAAGCGGGGGAGUCGCAAGACCUCGCGCCUGAAGAGGAGCCUGCGGCAGAUUAGCUAGNGGUGAGGUAAUGGCUCACCAAGGCAUCGAUCUGUAGCUGGUCUGAGAGGACGGCCAGCCACACUGGCACUGACACACGGGCCAGACCCCUACGGGAGGGCA
rnacentral:rRNA from 1 species